UACAGAGGGUGCAAGCGUUGUUCGGAAUUAUUGGGCGUAAAGCGCGUGUAGGCGGCUUUGCAAGUCGGGUGUGAAAGCCCUCAGCUCAACUGAGGAAGUGCGCCCGAAACUGCAGAGCUUGAGUACCGGAGAGGAUGGCGGAAUUCCCCAAGUAGAGGUGAAAUACGUAGAGAUUGGGAAGAACACCAGUGGCGAAGGCGGCUAUCUGGACGGUUUCUGACACUAAGACUCGAAAGCGUGGGGAGCAAACAGG
rnacentral:rRNA from 1 species